AACGCGAAGAACCUUACCUGGUCUUGACAUCCACAGAACUUUCCAGAGAUGGAUUGGUGCCUUCGGGAACUGUGAGACAGGUGCUGCAUGGCUGUCGUCAGCUCGUGUUGUGAAAUGUUGGGUUAAGUCCCGCAACGAGCGCAACCCUUAUCCUUUGUUGCCAGCGGUCCGGCCGGGAACUCAAAGGAGACUGCCAGUGAUAAACUGGAGGAAGGUGGGGAUGACGUCAAGUCAUCAUGGCCCUUACGACCAGGGCUACACACGUGCUACAAUGGCAUAUACAAAGAGAAGCGACCUCGCGAGAGCAAGCGGACCUCAUAAAGUAUGUCGUAGUCCGGAUUGGAGUCUGCAACUCGACUCCAUGAAGUCGGAAUCGCUAGUAAUCGUAGAUCAGAAUGCUACGGUGAAUACGUUCCCGGGUCUUGUACACACCG
rnacentral:rRNA from 3 species